AGAGUUUGAUCAUGGCUCAGGACGAACGCUGGCGGCGUGCUUAACACAUGCAAGUCGAGCGGAAAGGCCCUUCGGGGUACUCGAGCGGCGAACGGGUGAGUAACACGUGAGCAACCUGCCCUUAGCUUUGGGAUAACCCUCGGAAACGGGGGCUAAUACCGAAUGUUCACUGUCUGACGCAUGUUGGGUGGUGGAAAGUUUUUCGGCUGGGGAUGGGCUCGCGGCCUAUCAGCUUGUUGGUGGGGUGAUGGCCUACCAAGGCGACGACGGGUAGCCGGCCUGAGAGGGCGACCGGCCACACUGGGACUGAGACACGGCCCAGACUCCUACGGGAGGCAGCAGUGGGGAAUAUUGCACAAUGGGCGGAAGCCUGAUGCAGCGACGCCGCGUGAGGGAUGACGGCCUUCGGGUUGUAAACCUCUUUCAGCAGGGACGAAGCGCAAGUGACGGUACCUGCAGAAGAAGCGCCGGCCACUACGUGCCAGCAGCCGCGGUA
rnacentral:rRNA from 1 species